CCCACCUUCGUGGCCCGGAACUUGGAAGGGCCGCUGCUGCGCUUAAAUUCGGAGGCGAUGAGCAGGGCGUAGGAAGGGGUUCCGAGAAGCAGAAUUGUGGCCUUGUGGAAGCCGGCGAGAACUACUGAGGCACCUGUUGCCCCUGUCAAGCAAGGCAUAUCAUGAUUUCUUUUGGAGGAAUUGCUGCCAAGCUGGAAAGGGACCGUCUGCGGGCUGAGGGUGUGGGUAAUCACCAGAAUGCUGUGAAGUACCUUGGUCAAGAUUACGAUACCCUGAAGCAAGAAUGUUUGGAAAGUGGAACAUUAUUUGAAGACCCUCUAUUUCCUGCUGUUCCCUCAGUCCUUGGCUUCAAAGAACUGGGCCCUAAUUCUGGCAAAACCCGUGGAGUGCACUGGAAGCGCCCCUCUGAAAUUGUAGAUGACCCUCAGUUUAUUGUUGGAGGUGCAACAAGGACAGAUAUCUGCCAAGGGGCUUUGGGUGAGUAUUG